UACGUAGGGUCCGAGCGUUGUCCGGAUUUAUUGGGCGUAAAGAGCUCGUAGGCGGUUUCGUAAGUCGGAUGUGAAAACUCAGGGCUCAACCCGGAGACGCCAUCCGAUACUGCGAUGACUGGAGUCUGGUAGGGGAUCACGGAAUACCUGGUGUAGCGGUGAAAUGCGCAGAUAUCAGGAGGAACACCGGUGGCGAAGGCGGAUCUCUGGGCCGAUACUGACGCUGAGGAGCGAAAGCGUGGGGAGCGAACAGG
rnacentral:rRNA from 1 species